CCUGGUGGCUCAGAAGAUAAAGAAUCUGCCUGCAAAGCAGAAGACCCGGGUUCGAUCCCUGGGUCAGGA
rnacentral:tRNA from 1 species